rnacentral:lncRNA from 1 species
GACAUUACCAUGAAUAAAUCAGUCUCAAUUCUCUUUAAACAAGCAUUACUGAGUUUGGCAACAGACUCGGGAUUACAUCCUUUAGUUCCUUAUUUUACAUAUUUUUGCGGAUAUCUCAUACCUGAUUAUAUAUGUGUGUUGCAAAGAACUUUUGGUUGGUUAUCUCGAGCUUACAUUUUUGCCACAUUUAUCUCAGGUUGCACGGAGUAAUUUCCCUCUCAUGUUUGCUUUGAUGCGUGUUGCCCGGAGUCUUCUCCAGAAUGAACACUUACACAUAGAACCUUACUUGAGUUUAUUAUUUCAAUCAUUUAGAAGUACACGAACUAAUGCAAAUAUGCUAGUGGUUUAUUUUCCACCUAUCUGAUUUUUUAAAAUGUUCUUCAGUUACACCAGUUGAUGCCAUCUAUUAUUACCUGCCUCGUUGCAAAAAGGUUAGGAAAUAAAUUCACCGACAAUCAUUGGGAACUUAGAAACUUCGCAGCAAAGCUAGUGGCAUCAUUAUGCAAAAGGUGAGGAUUUCUUUUCUUUUGGACUUAUACAUGCAUAUUCGUUUUUAUGAAUCUCAGGUGUCUGAUUUUUUAGUUAUAAACUUGGAUCUAUUCUUCAAAUCAUGUGUAUAUCAUUUUUAUGCUAUUUCACACAUGCAAAACAAAUGGUGCGAGCGUGCAUGUUAUAUGCAGAAUGCAUAGAUUAAUUACAUGUGGAUCAUUAAGCAUGCCUAUGUUUGACCAUUGUGUGUGGCUACUUUUUUUUACAUGAUCCAAUUUUCGAUAUGCUUUGCUUUUAGGUUGAAUGCGGAAAAGAUUAGAACUUAGUUUCCAGCAUAAUGAUUUGUCUUGGAUAUGCAGAUUUUUACAUGCAUUUCUUACAAGUCAAUAUUUUAUAGAUUUGGGCAUGUUUAUCACAAUCUUCAGCCACGUGUGACAAGGACACUGCUCCAUGCUUUUUUGGACCCAACGAAAACAUUUCCCCAGCAUUACGGAGCAAUUCAAGGGUUAGCAGCCCUUGGACCCAGUGUGGUAUAAUUCUAAUCUCAAAUAUUUACUAGCAACACAAUAAGAUACUUGUUUGUGGGAUCAACUGGUCAAAGAUAUUGCAAUGAUAGCCAUCUUUUUAAGCCCAUUUCUUUCAGAAAACUGUUUUGUCACUCUUUUCUGCAAGAUCCGAAGAAAGAAAGAACUUGGAAAUCUAUAGUCCAAAAGUGUAAAUAUGCGGUUUCUCUAUAGGUAUCUUUAUUAUGGCAUCUGUACAGUUUGUCUUUCAUAUGUUUGGCUAACGCUUCUUCUUCCAUGUGUAGGUUCGUUUACUUAUACUACCAAAUCUUGAAGCGUAUUUGCAGCUUCUUGAACCUGAAAUAAAAAGACACGAGGCCUGGUGUGUUUAUGGGGCCCUGCUGGUAAGUUCCACAUCAAAUUUGGUACCAGUUUAUGAGCAUCGUUUCAUUUAUUUGCUGUAGAACUAACAACACUGCAUAAAAUUUCCACUAACAGCGUGCAGCUGGACUGUGCAUGUAUGAUCGGCUUAAAAUGUUCCCCAGUUUGCUAGCACCCCCAACUCGUCCCGUUUGGAAAAGCAACAACAAAGUUGCGACAAGUAUGAUUUCUUCGAACCAUCAUAUUUACACUUAAUCCACAAGUCUCUUCUCCCCCUUUACGAUAUUCCUUUUUCUGAUCAACCAAGAUAAACGAAAAGCAAGCACGGACACCUUGAUGCAGCAGCAACAACCUGCCAAGAAAAUAGCAACUGAGAGUGCAAUAGGUAUGAUGCCAAUAAAUUCCAUGCAAGCUGAUUUACAAGGGUCAGUUAGCGGCUUUUCUACCACCGUAGGAGGUUCCAAUAUCGGUGUAUCAUCAAUGUCACGGCCGUUAUCAAACUAUAACAUGCUUGGAAGGGAGGCUGGGGGUCGAGUUUCAAAGACAUCAACCGUUCUAGCUCAGGCUUGGAAGGAAGACACAGACGCAGGGAACUUGUUAGCAUCAUUAUUUGAACUUUUUGGUGAAAGUAUGUUAUCAUUUACUCCCAAACCUGAGCUUUCAUUCUUCCUUUGAUUGAAUUUCACCUCCAAAAGCUAUAGUUUUUGAAGGAAUUUGUGUAAAUUAUCCCCAUAGUUUUUUUCAGUCUUACUGUGUUUAUCUUUAUAAGUCUUCUUUUUUUCCUUGCUCAUAAAUGUAUUGUAGUUAUCAGAAAAUAUAUUCUACUUUGGAUUUUGUUUAUAUUAAAUUUUAGGUUAAAUUCUGCUAUUAGUCUCUGUAUUUACGAAAAUGAUGGAUUUAGUCCUUAUACCUUAAUUUGAUCAAUUUUAGUCAUUGUAUUUUUUGAAUUGGUCAAUUUUAAACUAUUUACUUUUUGAAGUUUGAAAUUUUAGUCUUGAUCCAAAUAAUAAUAAUAAUUAAAUCUGCUUAUUUAAAUUCAAUUAUUAGUUUUGUAUUAUGUAGAUAGUUAUAAAUUUAGGGUGGGUUUGGAUGGGCUGUGCUUUUACCUGCAGUUAGUGUAAAAAUAGCGGCGGUGGUGAGAUUAGAUAUCCAAGGUACCUAAUUUUUAUUUUGGCCAUAAGUACUACUAAAACUAUUCUUCCGUUACCCAUUUUAUACCAAAAUGUUAUAUCGGCUAAAAAGAUUCCAACAAAUAAUAGAUUGUAUGUCAUAUAAACUUUUUUAAAAAAUCAUUAAUUAAUUAAUUUUUAUAUUUUUCUUUCUUAUUCCUUUAUAAUGUUUGACAAUGUCGAUAAUGCUUGAAAUUGGCCCACUUGAGGUCGAAACGCUGGUGAUUAAUUUUGGUUUUGAAUUUCACCACCUACUUCUCUGACCAGAGGGGAUAGAAAAAGUUCUUUCAUCGAUCAAAACUAGUAUUUUCAAAAACAGACUGAUUCUACGGGUUGGAUAGGAAAUCGGUUUGGAAAUAGGGGUUGAAUCGAUUGACUUGCGAGCAAAAACAAAUCGGUUGAACUAAGCUAAAAAAACUGGUUGAAUAAGUUCUCUCUUUUUAUAUAUAUAUAAAUAAUAAUAGGCUUUGUUUUUACUACAUGUCAAUUUUUAAUUGGUUAAUUUUUUUUUCAUAUAAAUUGAACAAUUUGACUAAUGACGGAGGUACCAAAUUAUAGUCUAGGUACCAAUUUAUGGGUUAAGCCUAUUUAUAAAAUAGACUUUUGACAGUUUGACUAAUGGCGGUAGUAACUUGGGAAAAAAAAGUAGUUUAUGUACCACUUGUGACAAAAAAUAAGAUUAGGUACCAACAUGGGAAAAUGAGUAUAAUUUAGAUACCGAUUUAUGAGUUAAGCCUAAUAUAUUUGUCGCAUAAUUUUUUGAAAAUAACAGAACUUAAUAAAUUUAACGGUUAUUGUUUGGUGAUUACUAAAAUUUUAAAAUUUGAAAAGUACAUGAACUAAAAAUGACCAAAUUAAAAUAUAAAUAUUAAGUCCACAACUUUUGCAAAGUACAAGGACUAAUUGCAGAAAUUAACCUAAAUUUCAUAUGGGUCAAUUACAAAAAUAAUCACUAAACUAUCCCUUUGGUUCUAUUCUAGUCACUCAACUAUAUAGGUGCUCAUGAGCUUGGCCAGGUCAGGCCUAAGUAAGGGUGAGCAUUCGAUUGAAUCGAAAAUAGGGUUUGGGAUAGAUGGGAGGGGAAUAAAAGUUUUAGGGGAAAAGUGGGAGGGAGUAAAAAUUUUGGGAGAAAAUAAAAGGUUUUGAGGGUUUUGGGGAGUAAAAUAUUGAGAAAAAAUAAAUAGGAGAGUAAAAUUUUGGUGGGAAAUGGAUUUUGGGUAGAUUGGGGGGUUGGGAGGGGAGGGGAGUAAAAGUUUUGGGGGGAAAGUGGGAAGGAGUAAAAGUUUUGAGGGAAAAGUAAAAAAGUUUGGGAGUUUGGGGUAAAAAUGUAAAAUAUUAUAGUUUGAUAUUCGAAUUAUUCGAAUUAUUCGAGUUAUUCGAAUUCGAAAACUCAACUCGAUUCGAACUCGAAAUUCGAAAAAAAAUUCGAGUUGAUUCGAAUAACUCGAUUCGUUUAACUCGAAAUUUGAAUUUUUUUCAAUUUUUUCGAGUCGAAUCGAGUUUUGCUCACCCCUAGUUGCAAGUGCAACUUGCGUGGUGGCUGCCAGAAGGACUGAAUCGUAAAUGUAGCAAAAGUUUUGGGGCAAAAAUGUAAUUUUGAGAAAGUUUAGGGUCAAAAUAUAAUUUUAAAAAAUAUUAAGGGUUAAAAUAUAAUUUUAUAAAAAUUUAAGGGUCAAAAUGAAAUUUUAGAAAAGUUCAGAGGUCAAAAUACAAUUUUUAAAUUUUUUUUAAAAAAAAAAACACGAAAUUAUUCCCACAAAAUUAAGUGAUUACACGUAACUUUUCAAUGUAAAAGAAAAAAAAGACUGUAACACCAAUGUUGUGGUGUUAUUUGUUGCCUAUAAAUACCAUUCCUAUUCUUCAUCUUCCUCUGCAAACAUAACAUGGCCCCCUAUCUCUUUCUCUGCCUAUUCCUCUUCUUUCCCCGUCUUUAUGCUUCUUUUUCUUCUUCAGGAUAUCAGUCCUGCUCUUCAUUAAUCCAGUUUAAGGACUCUUUUUCCAUAACAGAGGAUGCUUCUUCUGAUUGCAAUGAGAUUGCUGGCCUUAAAUCUUAUCCCAAGACAAAUUCAUGGAAGGAGGGUACAGAUUGCUGCUCAUGGGAUGGGGUCACUUGUGACCACCUAAAUGCUCAUGUUAUUGCCCUUGACUUGAGCUGCAGUUGGCUAUAUGGCAACUUCCCUUCCAAUACCACUCUCUUCCUUCUUCCUCACCUUCAAAAACUCAACCUUGCCUACAAUGAUUUUAAUCUUUCCAAAAUUCCAUCCGAGUUCGGUCGGUUUACAAGCCUAUUCUACCUCAACCUUUCCCAUACAGAGUUUGAAGGAGAAGUCCCAUCCCAAGUCUCCCACCUGUCAAAAUUGGUUUCACUUGAUCUCUCCUCUCGGAUUGAUUACUCUGGGCAAGUUACAAUUGACAAACAUGCUCUGGAGGGACUUGUUCACAACCUAACCGAGGUCAGACAUCUGUUUUUGGAUGGAAUGGACAUGUCUUCUGUUAAUGCUCAUGUCUUCAUGAAUCUAUCCUCUUCUCUAAGGUCUCUCAGUCUUGCUUAUUGUGAUUUGCAAGGAAAAUUCCUAAAAAACAUUAUUGAUUUGCCAAACCUCAAUCUCCUCAACUUGGGACGUAACCAAAACCUCAAUCUUGAUCCUUUGAAGUUCAAUCGGAGCAGCAAUCUCGAACAUUUGGAUCUGUCGUGGAUGUCCUUCUCUACAGAAUCCGUUAAUUCAGUUGAUAAUCUACAGGCCUUAAAGUACUUAGAUCUAUCAGGAAAUUCUUUCUUUCAAGGAUUGUCUGUCUCAAUCACAAAUUUAUCAUCUUUGGAGCAAUUGAUAAUUUCAGGCGCAAAUUUUUUUGGAGGAUUGCCUGACUCGAUGGGGAAUCUUGUGUCCUUGAAGUUUUUAUUUCUCUCCGAUUCCAACUUUUCAGGACCGCUUCCAAGAUCACUGGGAAACCUCUUUCAACUCAAGUGUUUAGACUUGAGAUCAAACAAAUUGAGUGGACAAAUUCCAUUGUCAAUUCUAAACCUAACGCAGUUGGAAUACUUGGAAAUAUCUGAAAAUUCUUUAGAAGGUUCCAUUCCAGAUGAGGUAACCGCUUUUCCUAAUCUAAUAUAUUUAUACUUAUCUGACAAUUUACUCAGUGGAACACUUCCGUCAUGGUUGUAUACUGCUCCCUCAUUAGACAGUAUAGGUCUCUCUCAAAAUCAAUUCAGUGGGCAUAUCAAAGAAUUCCAAUCCAAAUCACUAGAAUUGAUAGCGUUAGAGAGUAAUAAACUCCAAGGUCCUCUUCCAUCUUCAAAAUUCCAACUUCUCAAUCUUACCCACCUCUCUUUAUCCUCAAGUAAUCUCAGUGGUGUCAUAGAGUUUCGCAUGUUCUCAAACCUUCCAAAUCUAAAACUUCUUGACCUUUCAUACAACAGCCUAUCCUUAGCAUCUAAUACUACUUCUUGUGUUAACCAUAUAUUGCCUAAUCUUACAGACUUACGUUUGUCAUCUUGCAAUCUUAGUGAAUUCCCCCAAUUUUUGAAAGGGCUUAAAAGUUUGAAAAGGUUAGACCUCUCUUGCAACAAAAUUGAAGGCAAGAUUCCACAGUGGAUGCAAGAGGUGGGGAAUGGCUCUUUGACUUACUUAAACGUAUCUCACAACUAUUUGACAGAAGUUGAGCACUUUCCACGGAAGAAUAUUGAAGUUCUUGACUUAAGCUCCAAUUUGAUCAGUGGAAAUCUUCCGAUUCCAGCUUCGACCAUCAAUGUCUUUUUGAUCUCAAAUAAUAGUUUCAAUGGAGAGGUCUCUUCUUUAAUAUGCAAUGCCAGUUAUCUUAAAAUUCUUGAUUUGUCCCACAAUAACUUGAGUGGAACAAUUCCGCAAUGUUUUGGAAAUUUGAGCAACAGCCUUCAAUUCUUGAAUCUGAAGAAGAACAAGUUCUAUGGGACGAUUCCUCCAACAUUUGCAGAGGGAUGCCAAUUGACUAAUUUCAACAUAAAUGGAAAUCUGUUAGAAGGGCCUUUGACACCAUCCAUCCUUAAUUGUAAUGAACUGGAAGUGCUAGAUCUUGGUAACAACAAGAUCAAUGAUACAUUUCCUCAUUGGUUGGGCAGUCUUCCAUUUUUGCAAGUUCUUGUAUUGAAGUCAAAUCAUAUGCAUGGUUCCUUGCGUGUCAAUAGCUCCAAGUCUAGCCCUUUUUUCUCUAAAAUCCAAAUUUUUGAUCUCUCGAGUAAUUAUUUUUCUGGACCUCUACCUGUGAGAUACAUCAACAGCUUCAAGGCUAUCAUAAAUCUAGAUAAGAUUGGGAGUACAAUGUCGUACAUGGGGGUGUAUGCUCAGAGAGGUAGUGGCUUCUAUACCUAUUCCAUUGGAAUUGUUAUGAAAGGACAAGAUAUGGAAUUGGUGAAAAUUUUCACCAUGUGGAUGAUCAUUGAUCUAUCAAACAAUCAGUUUGAAGGGUGUAUUCCAGAGGUUUUUGGGAAGCUUAACUUACUGAAAGGGCUCAACCUUUCUCAUAACAACCUUCAUGGUGGUAUCCCCACCUCAAUAGGGAAUUUGACAAGUCUUGAAUGGUUGGACCUAUCUUCAAACAGGUUGUCUGGGACGAUUCCAAAUAGAUUGGCAGAUCUGGCAUUUCUUUCGUCCUUCAAUGUUUCUGAUAAUCAGCUCCAUGGUCAGAUUCCUCAAGGCAAACAGUUCAACACAUUUGGAAAUGAUUCAUAUGAAGGAAACAAGGGAUUAUGUGGAUUUCCAGUCUCGAAAGGUUGCAACAUCAUUGAGCCACCACCUCCAAAUGUGCUUGAAAAAGAUGGCUCAAAAUCAAACAUUACUUUUGGUUGGAAAGUGGUGUUGAUAGGUUAUGGAUGCGGAGUGGUGUUGGGAAUGUCCGUGGGAUAUGUUGUUUUCCAAACUGGUAAGCCGAAAUGGUUGGUGAAUUUGGUUGAAAUCCAACAUGAGAAGAAGCAAAGACGAAAGUCAAAGAAAGGCAAUCGAAGCAAUAGACGAAGAAGGAUCUAAGUACAGCAAAUGAUGUUCAAGAAUUAGUGUUGUAUUUUCAAAAUUUCUUGUUCUGUAGACCGUUUUGCCCAUGGUGAAGGGUUGCAUUGGUAUGUGUAUGUCUUUAUUAUUGUACCAAUUCCUGUCUUUCAUUGCAUUUCGUACUAUCUGUAAUGGUUUGUUUGAGUGUAACAUUUUGUAUGGUAUUGUUGUUUAUGUCUUCUUUCAUGACUUUCCAUUUAGUCUCGAUAAUCUUUGCUACUGCUCAGUAAAGGAGGAAGGAGAAUAAAAUGUCUCAAUUUAUGUCAAUUUAUGCUUGCAGAUUUGACGUGGAAUGUUGUUGAACUGAAGGUUGUUUAACUUUUGUCUUCUAAGCUAUACAUGAACAUAUGGGAUGUGACAAAUAUUAUUUUAGCUUUUGCUUAUGAAAUGUUGAAAUAGUGAGUUUAUAUUCCUUGAUUAAUAAAAAGUGAGAUGGAGAUAGUCAAACCUCAAUUUCCACAUUGAAAUUGAAUCCAAACAUUAAUUGGUGGAUCACAUGUCUUGUAUUCUGUCAAGUUAAAGGGAGUGAAUAGAGCACCAUUCUUCUUCUGCGUGGAAAAUAAGUUGGCGUUAUGCCAAUUUUCACAUUCAUACAUAUAAAGGAAGCAAGACCAAGUCAAUAUACUUUGUAAUCUCAUCAUUUCUUCUUCAUUCUUUAGGGAGUUCAAAUGAAAUACAAAUUUUUGGUAAAUCAACUCUUCUUUUUUAUGAAUAAAAAUUAUAUGGUAAAAAGGAAGUGGUGUUAAUAAUAAUAAUAAUAAUAAUAAUAACAACAACAAUACAAAACUAAUAAAGCAAUUUAGUCUAUGAUUUGCACAAUGAUUAAUGUAGCGACCUAAAAAUUUAGGCACGAGCGCUAAUUGAAGUGAUUAUUGAAAAUUUGAAAACAGAAUCUCGAUUUUAUUUGAAAAAGGAGUCGCUAUCGAUCUUUUUUUCUAGGUGUGAUCGGACACCUAAUAAAUUCUCUUUUUAGAAGAAAAAUUUAUUUUUAAAUUUUUCUAAAAAUAGGUAAUUUUUCUAAAAAAUUUAGGGGUCAAAAUGUAAUUUUUUAUUUUUUGAAUUUUUUUUGAAAUUUAAAAAAAUAUAUAUAUAUAAACACGACAAAACCCGGACAAAAUUUAGUGCUUACAAUUAAUACCUAAUUUGAUCCUUGAAUUAUAGUUCAAAAAGUAUUUUUAUAUUUUUAAAUUUUCAUAAAAAUAAUUGUAUCAAAAUUUAAAAAUCUUAAAAAUAAAUACAAAUUUUAUAUAAAAAAUCAAUUGGCCCAAGAAAAAAAAUUUACCAACUAAAUUUUCCAUAUCCAAACUCAUAAAUAAUUCUUCUUUGAACUUUCACAAAAAAAUAUUAAAUACCCUUUCACUUUAUCAUUAUAAAUAUAAUAUACAUUUUUUUCCUUCUUUUUCAUGUAGAUCAGCUUCAACUCUACUAUUCUUAGAUCAUUAUAAAUAUAAUAUAUGUUUUAUUUACAGCUGAAAGUAAAACCUUGAGUUGAAAUUUGGCAGAAAAAAUUGUGGGUUUGGAGAAGAAGAAGAGCACUUUGUAUUUAAAUUUAAAAAAUCAAAAAUUUCAAAACUGAAAGUUACUCAAAACCCUAAACAAUCUAAUAAUUGGAGUUAUAGAAAAGAAAUAUGAGUUUAGAAAUAAAUAAAACAAAAUAAAUUUGCAAAACAAUUUCUAGGCAAAACAACAUGAAGUUGUUGAUGUGAUUGAAGGUGUUCUUCAACGGUGGAAAACAAAUAGAAUUUAAUUUGAAAAUUUUAAGAUUUUUUAAAUAAUAAAAAAUUGCAUUAGUUUAAAAACUUUAGUUUUAAUUUUAAGAUAUUUUUAGAUUUAUACAUAUUUAAUUAUUUUUAGAUUUUUUAGAUUUAAAUGAAGUUACAAUUAUUUUUGAAAACGGUACCUCUACAUUUUUGAAGGUACAAGGAAAUAAAAUAUGGAUUUGGUAUCGAUACUUCGGCCCGAGUAUCAAUGCUCGAGGUAAGUUUAUUGAUACCUUGCGAAAGGUACCAAUAAUUUUUUUAUAUUUUGAUAUUUGGUAAGAAACAUAAUGUUAGUUUGGUAUCGAUUUUCCAUGAGAUAUCAAUACCACUUAAAGAAAAUAUCGAUAGCCCUAGGACAGUAUCAAUACCUAUGUAACAGUUUUAGAAAUUUUGCAACUGGGCCCAUUUGUAGGUUUGAUUGAUGUUUUUAAUACCCUUAGUGUAUGUAUGGCAUGUUUUAAUGAUAAGAAGUGGUUGAACGACUACAACUCAUACGUAGGAUUGAAUAAAGAUGAUGAUUGGUUACUUGUGAAAUUGUUUGCUAAGUAAAUGAUGCAUGAUGGUGGUGUAACAUCCUAAUAUUUCGGCUUGGCGACUGAGCCGAGUAUAGGGUGUUACAAUGUGUUCCACAAGUUUCAUCAGCAAUCCUCAAUGCAUCUAAUUAAUUGGGAAAAUUGAGAAAAUAGAAAUGGUCAAGAAGAUGUAACAUGAUGAGUACCUCUUUGCACCGUCAAGAAUUUUAGUAAGUCUCCAAAUUCAUUCAUUAACCCUCCUUCCUGUUAAAUAUUUAUCAUUAAUUUUAUUAAAUUAAAACAUAAAUUUUUAUAAAUCUAAAGUGUAAUUUAUGAGCCGGGUUAUUCAAUCCAAAAAAAAAAAAUCAGCCAAGACUCUUUGGACAAAUUGCUUGAGUAAAACCAGAAAAUGAAUAACAAUUUUGAUGGAUUUUGAUUACAAAUGAAUUGAGGCAUAAUGCCAUUACAUAUACCAUGCAUUCAGCUGGUCAAAAUGAGACAGACAUCACCUAAUCAUCAACCUAACUCCACUAAGUAGCCUUGAAACUUAUGAAAACAUAACUUGCACACAUAGGUACGCUGAUUUAUCAAUCUAUCAGCACCUAAUUACAUCAAACAUGUUACCAACUUAGUUCAAAUCAAACUAAGCAAGAAAACAUUAACUUAAAGUAACAAAAAAUGAACAGCAGCAUGAACUUCAGCUGCAACUGCAUGGCUGGAGCAGCUCUGCUUCUUGUCUGCAUGCCGGCCAACUUCAACAAGAUCUGAGUAAGGCUAAUUUGUCCAGAAGUUGCAUCAUGCAAAACUAUUUAAUGGCUUUUAGGUAGCUUUGUCAACGGCAAAAAAAAUGAGAAAAUUAGUCAAAUUUCUUCCAUUUUUAUCUUUAAAAAUUUGGUUUUGUGCGUCAACAUGAAGUACAUGUGGCACGUACAUGCAAACUGUCUGAUUAUUUAGACAUCUACACUAGUUUUUAAAGGUAAAAAUAGAAGAAAAUUUUAAUAAACAAGACCAAUUAACUCUUUUAUCUAGCAUACAAGAAUUAUUCUAUACAUCUUUCAAUAAAUGGGGAAAAUUACAUCCACACAUUCUCCACAUUUCAGACCUGUAAUUCUAGCCAAUUGGUCACAAGCAUACAUGUCCCAUUUCAAUAUUCAAAGGUCUGCUUUGAUUAUUUUAUUUUGUGUUCUGUUGUCGCCCCAAAAUAGUUCCACUUGGCACAUCUCCAUACAUUUCAAACAUACCAAAAAUCUGCUGGCAAGCAAUACAAGACAAGUUCCAGCCACUUCAACAUUUGGCUCCUGUUCAUUGCCAAAAGAAAAAAAUAAACAUUUUUUAUAUUUAAUUGAAGGUCAAAAACACAUAAAAAGACAACCGGACAGCUAGUAUUUCAUCCAAUCUUCACAACAUGUCUGUGUGCGUGCAGAUCCUUCACUUCCCAGAAGCCUUUAGCGCGUAUUCUAUUAUAAAAUCACAGAUUACUAUUUAAAUGAUAAAUAAAUUAUUUAAAGUAUGAAAAUAUACAUGUUUUUUUUUAUUGGCUUAAGGGCGUAAAAAAUCCUUAAAUUUUUUUUUUAAAAAAGACAAUUAAAUUUCUCCUUUUUUUACACUCAAUUGAGCACUUAAAGUUUUAAAAUGCAUCAAAAAUACUCUCAAACUUCUUCCGAAAAAACAAUUAAAUCCUUAUUUUCUUUCCCACUCAAUUGGGUGCUUGAACUUUUUCAUAAUAUUUUUUUGGGCGAUUUAAUGAACCAUACAAGUUUCAAGGCUAAAAGAGGCAAAAGAAAAAGAAAAAGAAAAAGAAGCUAAAAUGACUUUUUGUUUGUAAAGUCAAAAAAUACCAAAUAAAUCAUUAUGUCUUUUUAGUUUUAAUUUUUUACUUGAUUAAAAGAGAAAUAAUUAACGAAUGAAAAAUAGCUAUUCCUAAAUAAAUUUAUCAGAAUUUAUAACAAAUGAGAUUUUAGAUUUGAAGUAUGAGGUUAUAUAUAUUAUAUAAGUAUACCUGUUUUUAUGGAAUCGGUGGAUUAUAUUUUCGACAGUCUUCUUCCCCAAGCGUAGUGAAUAGAGCACAAUUUUGUUCUUUUGGAUGGAAAAGAAUUUCUACAUUAAUUAGAUUUGGUUGACAGGCAAAUGAAUAGAUACACACAUUUUUUACGUGUUAUUAAGGAAGAAGACUAAGUCAAUCUACUUUGUAAUCUCAUCAAUCUUAAUUUUUUUAGUUGUUUAGGGAGUUCAAAUGAAAUACAAGAUUUUGCUAUAAAAAAAAAAAGCAUCCAAUUUUAAGAAUGAAAAAUAUACGGUAAAAAGAAGACUAAUGGUUGUUGAUGAUUGUGAAAAAUACAAAAAUUAUUUGUUGCCUAUAAAUACCAUUCCUAUCCUUCAUCUUCCUCUACAAACAUAACAUGGCCUCCUAUCUCUUUCUCUGCCUAUUCCUCUUCUUUCCCCAUCUUUAUGCUUCUUUUUCUUCUUCAGGAUCUCACUCCUGCUCUUCGCUAAUCCAGUUCAAGAAUUCUUUUUCCAUCACUCAGACAGAUGUUGCUUCUUCUUAUUGCGAUGAUCAAUCUUAUCCCAAGACAGAUUCAUGGAAGGAGGGUACAGAUUGCUGCUCAUGGGAUGGGGUCACUUGUGACCACCUAAAUGCUCGUGUUAUUGUCCUUGACUUGAGUUGCAGUUGGCUAUAUGGCAACUUCCCUUCCAAUACCACUCUCUUCCUUCUUCCUCACCUUCAAAAACUCAACCUUGCCUACAAUUAUUUUAAUCUUUCCAAAAUUCCAUCCGAGUUCGGUCGGUUUAUAAGCCUAUUCUACCUCAACCUUUCCAAUACAGGGUUUGCAGGAGAAGUCCCAUCCCAAGUCUCCCACCUGUCAAAAUUGGUUUCACUUGAUCUCUCCUGUCGGGCUGAUGCACAAACAAUUGACAAACAUGCUCUGGAGGGACUUGUUCACAACCUAACCGAGGUCAGACAUCUGUUUUUGGAUGGAAUCAACAUGUCUUCUGUUAAUGCUCAUGUCUUCAUGAAUCUAUCCUCUUCUCUAAGGUCUCUCAGUCUUGCUUUUUGUGAUUUGCAAGGAAAAUUCCCAAAAAACAUUUUUGAUUUGCCAAACCUCAAUCUCCUCAACUUGGGAGGCAACCAAAACCUCAAUCUUGAUCCUUUGAAGUUCAAUCGGAGCAGCAAUCUUGAACAUUUGGAUCUGUCGUGGAUGUCCUCCUCUACAGAAAUUGAUUCAGUUGAUAAUCUACAGGCCUUAAAGUACUUAGAUCUAUCAGGAAAUUCUUUCUUUCAAGGAUUGUCUGUCUCAAUCACAAAUUUAUCAUCUUUGGAGUACUUGAUUCUUAGAGGCGCAAAUGUUUUUGGAGGAUUGCCUGACUUGACGGGGAAUCUUGUGUCCUUGAAGUUUUUAGAUCUCUCCCAGUCCAACUUAUCAGGACCGGUUCCAAGAUCACUGGGAACCUCUUGCAACUCACUCAUUUAGACUUGUCGCAGAACCAAUUGAGUGGACAAAUUCCAAGAUUAUUGGGGAACCUCUUUCAACUCACUCAUUUAGACUUGUCGUGGAACCAAUUGAGUGGACAAAUUCCAAGAUCAUUGGGGAACCUCUUGCAACUCACUCAUUUAGAUUUGUCGAUGAACCAAUUGAGUGGACAAAUUCCAAGAUCAUUGGGGAUCAUUGGGGAACAUCUUGCAACUCACUCAUUUACUUGUCGGUGAACCAAUUGAGUGGACAAAUUCCAAGAUCAUUGGGGAACCUCUUGCAACUCACUCAUUUAGACUUGUCGGUGAACCAAUUGAGUGGACAAAUUCCAAGAUCAUUGGGGAACCUCUUGCAACUCACUCAUUUAGACUUAUUGGUGAACCAAUUGAGCGGACAAAUUCCAAGAUCAUUGGGGAACCUCUUGCAACUCACUCAUUUACAGUUGCCGGUGAACCAAUUGAGUGGAAAAAUUCCAAGAUCAUUGGGGAACCUCUUGCAUCUCACUCAUUUACACUUGCCGAUGAACCAAUUGAGUGGACAAAUUCCAUUGUCAAUUCUAAACCUAACGCAGCUGGAAUACUUUGUAAUAUCUAAAAAUUCUUUAGAAGGUUCCAUUCCAGAUGAGGUAACCGCUUUUCCUAAUCUAAUAUAUUUACACUUAAAUGACAAUUUACUCAAUGGAACAUUUCCGUCAUGGUUGUUUACUGCUCCCUCCUUAAAGGAAAUAUAUCUCUCUCAAAAUCAAUUCAGUGGGCAUAUCAAAGAAUUCCAAUCCAAAUCACUAGAAUUGAUAGCGUUACAGAAUAAUAAACUCCAUGGUUCUCUUCCAUCUUCAAUAUUCCAACUUCUCAAUCUUACCGACCUCGUUUUAUCCUCAAAUAAUCUUAGUGGUGUCAUAGAGUUUCGCAUGUUCUCAAACCUUCCAAAUCUAAAACAUCUCGACCUUUCAUAUAACAGCCUAUCCUUAACAUCUAAUACUACUUCUACUGUUAAUCAUAUAUUGCCUAAUCUUACAGGCUUACUUUUGUCAUCUUGCAAUCUUGGUGAAUUCCCCCAAUUUUUAAAAGGGCUUAAAAGUUUGGAAAGCUUAGACCUCUCUUGCAACAAAAUUGAAGGCAAGAUUCCACAGUGGAUGCAAGAGGUGGGGAAUGUCUCUUUGACUUACUUAAACGUAUCUCACAACUCUUUGACGAAGUUGAGCACUUUCCAUGGAAGAAUAUUGAAUUUCUUGACUUAAGCUCCAAUUUGAUCAGUGGAAAUCUUCCGAUUCCAGCUUCGACCAUCAAUGUCUUUUUGAUCUCAAAUAAUAGUUUCAAUGGAGAGGUCUCUUCUUUAAUAUGCAAUGCCAGUUCUCUUCGAAUUCUUGAUUUGUCCCACAAUAACUUGAGUGGAACAAUUCCGCAAUGUUUUGGAAAUUUGAGCAACAGCCUUGAAUUCUUGAAUCUGAAGAAGAACAUGUUUUAUGGGACGAUUCCUCCAACAUUUGCAAAGGGAUGCCAAUGGAGUAAUUUCAACUUAAAUGGAAAUUUGUUAGAAGGGCCUUUGACACCAUCCAUCCUUAAUUGUAAUGGUCUGGAAGUGCUAGAUCUUGGUAACAACAAGAUCAAUGAUACAUUUCCUCAUUGGUUGGGAAAUCUUCCAUAUUUGCAAGUUCUUGUAUUGAAGUUAAAUCAUAUGCAUGAUUCCUUGCGUGUCAAUAGCUCCAAGUCUAGCCCUUUUUUCUCUAAAAUCCAAAUUUUUGACCUCUCAAGUAAUUAUUUUACUGGACCCCUACCAGUGAGAUACAUCAACAGCUUCAAGGCUAUCAUAAAUCUAGAGAAGAUUGGGAGUACAUUGUUGUACAUGGGGGUGUAUGAUCGGAUUGCUAGUGGCUUCUAUACCUAUUCCAUUGGAAUUGUUAUGAAAGGACAAGAUAUGGAAUUGGUGAAAAUUUUCACCAUGUGGAUGAUCAUUGAUCUAUCAAACAAUCAGUUUGAAGGGGGUAUUCCAAAGGUUAUUGGGAAGCUUAACUUACUGAAAGGGCUCAACCUUUCUCAUAAUAACCUUAAUGGUGGUAUCCCCACCUCAACAGGGAAUUUGACAAGUCUUGAAUGGUUAUGUAGUUUUAGAUGUUAAGGAUAGGCUGUUAUAUGAAAGGUCGCGAUGUUUUAGAUUUGGAAGGUUUGAGAACAUGCGAAGCUCUAUGACACCACUAAGAUUAUUUGAGGAUAAGCUGAGGGAGGUAAGAUUGAGAAGUUGGAAUAUUGAAGAUGGAAGAGGACCUUCGAGUUUAUUAUUUUCUAGAUCUAAAUAUUCUAGUGAUUUGGUUUGGAAUUCUUUGAUAUGACGGAAGUGUUCCAUUGAGUAAAUUGUCAAAUAACACUAAAUAUAUUAGAUUCGGAACAGCGGUUACCUCAUCUGGAAUAGAACCUUCUAAAGAAUUUUCAGAUAUUUCCAAGUAUUCCAACUGCGUUAGGUUUAGAAUUGACAAUGGAAUUUGUCCACUCAAUUUGUUUGAUCCCAAGUCUAAAUGAGUGAGUUGCAAGAGGUUUCCAAGUGAUCUUGGACCGGUCCUGAUAAGUUGGAAUCGGAGAGAACUAAAAACUUCAAGGACACAAGAUUCCCCAUCGAGUCAGGCAAUCCUCCAAAAAAAUUUGCGCCUCUAAUAAUCAAGUACUCCAAAGAUGAUAAAUUUGUGAUUGAGGCAGACAAUCCUUGAAAGAAAGAAUUUCCUGAUAGGUCUAGGUACUUUAAGGCCUGUAGAUUAUCAACCGAAUCAAUGAAUUCUGUAGAGAAGGACAUCCACGACAGAUCCAAAUGUUCGAGAUUGCUGCUCCGAUUGAACUUCAAAGUAUCAAGGUUGAGGUUUUGGUUACGUCCCAAGUUGAGGAGAUUGAGGUUUGGCAAAUCAAAAAUGUUUUUUGGGAAUUUUCCUUGCAAAUCACAACCAGCAAGACUGAGAGACCUUAGAGAAGAGGAUAGAUUCAUGAACACAUGAGCAUUAACAGAAGACAUGUUGAUUCCAUCCAAAAACAGGUGUCUGACCUCGGUUAGGUUGUGAACAAGUCCCUCCAGAGCAUAUUUGUCAAUUGUUUGUUCACCAAACACAGAGGAGGAGAGAUCAAGUGAAACCAAUUUUGACAGGUGGGAGACUUGGGAUGGGACUUCUCCUGCAAACCAUGUAUAAGAAAGCUUGUAAACCGACCGAACUCGGACCUAUCUUCAAACAUAUUAAAUACCCAUUCACUUCAAUUCUACUAUUCUUAAAUCAUUAAAGUUUUGUGGAAAAUAUGCUUCUUGGAUAAAAAUUAUUCAACACACAUGCCUUGAAUUUUAUGCAAUAAAAUAAAUCAAUAUAGGCCACACAUGCUUUGAAUUUUUAAGUAGUCCACAAUUUUGUUCGUUUGUGUGCAAGAUUCUACAUUGCUUGACAGCCAUACAUACUAAGUAAAUAGACACCCACAUUGUUUACGUAUUAUGAGGAAGAAGAUUAAGUCAAUCUACUUUGUAAUCUCAUCAAUCUUAAUUUUCUCAGUUGUUUAGGGAGUUCAAAUGAAAUACAAAAUUUUGGAAAAAAAAUGUAUCCAAUUUUGUGAAUGAAAAAUAUAUGGUAAAAAGGAUUUGGUAUGGAUACUUCGGCCCGGGUAUCAAUACUCAGAGUAAGUUAAAGCAUCAGUGGAUGAAGAAGGAUCUGGUUGGUGCAAAUGAAGUUAAAGCAUUUGUGCUGUGUCUUCAUAAUUUCUUGUUUAGUAGUCUGUCAGAAAGUUUUUCCUAUGGUGAAAAGUUGCAUUGGUAUGUGUCUGUUUUUAUGAUUGUACCAAUUCCUCUGUAUUUCAUUGCAUUUCGUACUAUUUGUAAGGGUUUAGUUCGAGUGUAACAUCUUGUAUGGUGCAACUAUGUGUGUCUUCUUUCUUGAAUUUCAAUUUUUAGUAAACAUUGUACUGCUCACCAUAAAAAAGGAUACAUGUAGAAUUACAAAAGAUUCAAUUAUUCAAGUUUGAGUUGCAUUUAUAAAGACGUGGCGAUGAGAAUUCAUGAACGUAAGGUAUGGUUUGAGCCCUUUUGCCAUAUGCAUUUAUGUUGCAGAUGUUCAAAUAUUAAUUUAAGAGUAAUAUUUACAAUAGCAUUGCAGAGUAACAUAUUUAAGAUUGGAUUACACAGUCAAAAGAUUGCAGCAACGAUGAGAUUAAUACAAUUACAGGAAUUGGUAUCCUACAUGGCUUUUAGGCACGUAGCUUCAUUGACGAUGAGAUAAUUUUAGGAGGAAGCAACAGCAAGUGUGAAGUCAAUAGACAAUUGAUAGUCUUUAUUCUUUUGUGUGGAAAAUUAUUUGGGACCAAACUUAACGUGUUAUAAGGAAGAAGACUUUGUAAUCUCAUGAAUGUUAAUUAUUUUACUUCUUUGGUAAAAAAAAAGGAAUUAAUUUUAUGAAUGAAAAAUAUAUGGUAAAAAGGAAAUAGUUGUUGAUCACUAACAACAUGAUGAUUGUGGAAAUACAAAAAUUCCCAUAUAUGUGUUGAAUUCUGCAUAAUGUAAAUGUCCCGCAUUGCAUGUGAAUUCUGCAAUAGACCAAAUUUUACGUGUUAUAGUCCUUUAAACUGAGUUAAUGAAAAGUAAUCAUUCUUAUCAAAAUUAGUUAUACUCUUAAUUUAUAAUAAAAGAAAGAGUAAUUUGAGUUUAACUCAAAGGUUAAUAUGUCAUCAAUGGGCGAUGGCAUGGCGCUACCAUGUCAGCGAUUAUUUUCUUCUUUGAGUUAAGGUGAUUUCACCAAUUUUAGUUUACUUUUUAACUUCAAUUUAGGUUUAUGCUUAUUAGCUUCGAAGAUUCUAUGUGGGUGCCACAAUCAAAGGGUGAGUAAAAAGGGUUAAAAAUAAUUUUUUUUAAAAUAUUUUUAUUUUUAUUAAAAAUUUAGAAUUAGAAUUAGACAAAUUUUGUAAAUGUUAAGGGCUAACUUUAUUGAAUUUUUUUUUUCAGAAUUCGAACUAAAAUGACAAAUUUUGUAAAAAGCGCUAAAUUUGUUGAAUUUUUUAUAUUUAAGAUCAAAUUGAUAGAAUGUGUAAAUAUUAGAGGUUAAAUUCGUUAUUAGAUAAAAAAAAUCCACAUCAGCUUUCCGUCACUCAUCUAACGACAACUAAAGGGAGAGUGAUUAAAAUAUUUAAUUUCAAAAAGUUUAGCAACUAAUUGGAAAAUUUAAUAGUUGGGUGACUAUUUUUAUAGUUUACAACUUUUUUGGUCACAUGACUAUUAAGUGACACUUUUUAGUUGGUAUAAUAAUAAUUUUUAUCCUCAAUUUUUAUACUUUCUGUCAAUUUAACUCUAAUUAUAUAAAAUGAUUACAAAAGUGAAAUUCUUUUUAAAUUUUACAAAAUUCUAAAAAUUAAAAAUUAAAUGAAAGUAGAUAAAAAUUUCAAAUAUAAAUAAAGUGAGAGAAAAUGAGGGAAAUAUUAUUUUUAAACCCUCCAAAUUUUCUUUGUAUUAUUUGUAAAGAAAUAUCUAAUAUCCAUUCUUUUAGAAAACAUAGAAAAAAGUAAAAAAAAAAAAGAUUAAGUAAAAUUAUCUGUAUAUAAUCUGCUUUUAUAAUUUGGGUUUUUAAAAAUAAAUUUAAAUGAAUUGAAAAUUCGAAUUGAGUUUGAAAAAGAAAAUUUUGUGGUAUAUUUUAUAUUUUUGCUAGAAAAAUGGCAUCAAAGUUGAUUUUGUAAGCUUUUGUAAUAUAGUUACGGAUGUUCUUCAAGGGCAUGAAACUCAACUUGAAAAUUUUACUAAUUUGGUUGCAAAAAACAUUGAGGAAGCGUAUAAUGAUCUAACCUUUUUUUUGUUUUGUUCUGUUUUUAAUUUGUUAUGGGAUUCUAUUGAAUGAUAAUUUUUUUUAUUUCCCAUACAUAUUAGUUCUUCAACAACAACAUAUUCGAGAUUUUAUUUUUCUAGAAUUUUUAUAUAGAAGUUUAUAUUUUUUAAAAAUAAUUUUGAGUUUUUUUUAUAAUUUUUAUACAGAAGUUUAUAUUUUUUAAAUUGGCAAAAAAAAUUAUAAAAACAAAAUACUAGAAUUGUUAUUAUAGCAACUACAAAGUGUCAUUUAACAAUAGGGUGACCAAAUUGUAACUUUUUUCGUUAAGUGACCAAAACGAAGAUUUACCCAUAGUUCAGUGGCUAAUUAUGUAGUUUACCUUUUCAUAAUUAAAAAAUAGUUGUUAAGUUUUUCUUGUAUUAGAUAACAUUUUAGAUGGUAAAAACCCUCUUUAGUCCCUCUCAAUUUUGAUAUUAAGUAAAUUGGUCCAUUUUAAAAAAAAUUAAAGCAAUUUAAUCUUUGUUAAUUUCGAAAGUGAGCAACUAAGAACAAUUAAUCACAAUGUCAAUAUUUUCCAUCAAUUGUACAUAUUUUUAUUGGUAUAAUAACAAGUUUAUAAACUUGUUUACAUAUUCUGUCAAUUUGAUCUUGAUUUAACAAAUUUAUCCCGCAACAAUUACAUAUUCUAUUAACAUUUACAUAUAAUAUAUAAACAUCGAGAGCUUAUUUUGUUAUUAUAUCAAUAAAAAAUAUAUACAAUUUACAGAAAGUAUUAACACAAUGAUUAAUUGUUCUUAGUUGCUCCCAUUCAAAAUUGAUAAUGAUUAAAUUGCUCUAAUUUUCUGAGAGGAAUCAAUUUGUUCAAUAUAGAAAUUGAGAGGGACGAGAAAUGUGUUUUUAUCCAUUUUAGAUACCAACAAGUGUUUGGCGUAGUGGCAAAUCAUAUUACAUUCUCAAGGAGAUAAUGCGUAUUCAGACGUUGGAGAUAAUAAUGUUGUGUGCGGUAUCCACCGAUCUUGAACACGAAUUGUAAAACAUAUAUAAAGAAUAAAAAAAUAACAUCUUAAUUUAAAUAAUUAAUAAAUUUUAAUUUGAAAAAAUUAUUUUGAGAAACAUAAGUUUUAGUAAGUAGUAAAACUGAAUUAAUUUGAAUUUAAACUUAACGCAACUCGAUUUGAUUAUAAAGAAGUGAUAAUUUGAAUCCAAAAUGACAUGAUCUUAAAAUGAUUUGAAUUAAUUGUCAAACCCGAACGACAAAACUCGAAAUGAUGCAAUCCAAAAACGCUGGUUAAAAUGAUGCAAUCCAAUCGUAGUAAGUUUAACCUGCUGCUUUAGAUUUUGCAUUUUGGUUAAUUGGCUUGUGUUAUGUGUUUCUCUGGCAUCAGCCGAUAUGUGGAUUUGCCUCUCGUGAUGCACUACCAUUCAAGAAGCAUAAUGAUUUGUUCUACAUUGAUGACAAAGAUGUGGAGUUUAAAGAAGUAAGAACUGAUCAACAAUAUUCGAGGUUCUGUUGUAUGUUGCCUUAUUAAAUAAGUCUUCACUUAAAUUCCUAUGUUGCCUUAUGUAUGUAGGUUCUUGAGUCACCUUUACCAAAAGCACCACUUGAUACAUCUGUUACAUCCCACUGGCUUGCGAUUGAAGGCAUUCAACCAGCAAUUCCCGAAAAUGCUUCAAUUGAAGGUACCGUCUUAGCUAACCUAAAUAUUUUCUCGAAGCUAUUUGUGUUGAAUACUCUCAUGGUUCAUGUUCUUUUCUGGUUUUAUCACUUUAAUCUAAUACGACUUAUCUUCAUUUCUACAUGGAAUUGGUAGUUUGCUUUCCAUGCAGCACCUUCUGAUGGUAAAAAGGCUGAAUACAAAGAAGAUGGGCUUUCCGUUGAUGUCAAAUUACCUGUUAAGCAUGUAUUAUCUAGAGAGCUUCAAGUAUGUUGUACAUCUUCAGCAACAUUUUUAUGUUAAAAUACAUUUUGCACAGAAUGUUAUUAAAAGACUAAUUUGGUUGUCAUGCAGCUUUACUUUGACAAGAUCGUGGACAUUACCAUGAAUAAAUCAGUCUCAGUUCUCUUUAAACAAGCAUUACUGAGUUUGGCAACAGACUCGGGAUUACAUCCUUUAGUUCCUUAUUUUACAUAUUUCAUUGCGGAUGAGGUUGUCUUAAAGAUCUUUGAUACCUCAUUAUAUAUGUGUGUUGCAAAGAACUUUUGGUUGGUUAUCUCAAGCUUACAUUUUUGCCACAUUUAUCUCAGGUUGCACGGAAUUUGAAUAAUUUCCCUCUCAUGUUUGCUUUGAAGCGUAUUUGCAGCUUCUUGAACCUGAAAUAAAAAGACACGAGGCCUGGUGUGUUUAUGGGGCCCUGCUGGUAAGUUUAACAUCAAAUUUGGUACCAGUUUAUGAGCAUCGUUUCAUUUAUUUGCUGUAGAACUAACAACACUGCAUAAAAUUUCCACUAACAGCGUGCAGCUGGACUGUGCAUGUAUGAUCGGCUUAAAAUGUUCCCCAGUUUGCUAGCACCCCCAACUCGUCCCAUCUGGAAAAGCAACAACAAAGUUGCGACAAGUAUGAUUUCUUCGAACCAUCAUAUUUACACUUAAUCCACAAGUCUCUUCUCCCCCUUUACGAUAUUCCUUUUUCUGAUCAAUCAAGAUAAACGAAAAGCAAGCACGGACACCUUGAUGCAGCAGCAACCACCUGCCAAGAAAAUAGCAACUGAGAGUGCAAUAGGUAUGAUGCCGAUAAAUUCCACGCAAACUGAUUUACAAGGGGCAGUUAGCGGCUUUUCUACCACCGUAGGAGGUUCCAAUAUCGGUGUAUCAUCAAUGUCACGGCCGUUAUCAAACGAAAACAUGCUAGGAAGGGAGGUUGGGGGUCGAGUUUCAAAGACAUCAACCGUUCUAGCUCAGGCUUGGAAGGAAGACACAGACCCGGGGAACUUGUUAGCAUCAUUAUUUGAACUUUUUGGUGAAAGUAUGUUAUCAUUUACUCCCAAACCUGAGCUUUCAUUCUUCCUUUGAUUAAAUUUCACCUCCAAAAGCUAUGGUUUUUGAAGGAAUUUGUGUAAAUUAUCCCCAUAUUCUUUUCAUUCUUACUGUGUUUAUCUUUGUAAGUCUUCCUUUUUUCCUUGCUCAUAAAUGUAUUGUAGUUAUCAAAAAAUAUAUUCUACUUUGGAUUUUAUUUAUAUUAAAAUUUAGGUUAAAUUCUGCUAUUAGUCUCUGUACUUUACGAAAAUGAUGGAUUUAGUCCUUAUACCUUAAUUUGAUCAAUUUUAGUCAUUGUAUUUUUUGAAUUGGUCAAUUUUAAACCAUUUACUUUUUGAAUUUUGAAAUUUUAGUCUUGAUUCAAAUAAUAUUAAUAAUAAUUAAUACCUAAACAAUGCUCCUUUUCCCAAGGUACCUAAUUUUUAUUUUGGCCAUAAGUAUUACUAAAACUAUUCUUCCAUUACUCAUUUUACACCAAAAUGUUAUAUCGGCUAAAAAGAUUCCAACAAAUAAUAGAUUGUAUGUCAUAUAAGCUUUUAAAAAUAAUUAUUAAUUAAUUAAUUUUUUUAUAUUUUUCUUUCUUAUUCCUUUAUAAUGUUUGACAAUGCCGAUAAUGUUUGAAAUUGGCCCACUUGAGGUCGAAACGUUGGUGAUUAAUUUUGGUUUUGAAUUUCACCACCUACUUCUCUGACCUGAGGGAAACUAGUGUUUUCAAAAACAGAUUGAUUCAACUAGUUGGAUAGGAAAUCGGUCCGGAAAUAGGGGUUGAAUCGAUUGACUUGCGAACAAAAACAAAUCGGUUGAACUAGUUCUCUCCAUUUAUAUUUAUAUAAAUAAUAAUAGUUUUUUUUUACUACAUGUCAAUUUUUAAUUGGUUAAUUUUUUUUUUCAUAUAAACUGAACGGUUUGACUAAUGACGGAGGUACCAAAUUUUAGUCUAGGUACCAAUUUAUGGGUUAAGCCUAUUUCUAAAAUAGACUUUUGACUAAUGGCAGUAGUAACUUGGGAAAAAAAAGUAGUUUAUGUACCACUUGUGACAAAAAAUAAGUUUAGGUACCAACAUGGGAAAAUGAGUAUAAUUUAGAUACCGAUUUAUGAGUUAAGCCUAAUAUAUUUGUCGCAUCAUUUUUUGAAAAUAACAAAACUUAAUAAAUUUAACGGUUAUUGUUUGGUGAUGACUAAAAUUUUAAAAUUUGAAAAGUAGAUGAACUAAAAAUGACCAAAUUAAAGUAUAAAGAUUAAGUCCACAACUUUUGCAAAGUAUAAGGACUAAUAGCAGAAAUUAACCUAAAUUUCAUAUGGGUCAAUUACAAAAAUAAUCACUAAACUAUUCCUUUAGUUCUAUUCUAGUCACUCAACUAUAGAGGUGCUCAUGAGCCUGGCCAGGUCAGGCCUAAGCAUGAUAUUAAAGUACUUUAUGCUUGCUCAAGCUCGGCUCGGCCCAAAAUAUGAGCUUAAAAUUUUGCCUAAACUCAUCCAUAUUUGCAAAAGACUAACCCAAGCUCAUUUUAGGCAUGCCCAUAUAAUUUUUAGUUUUUUUUUUAAAUAUUUAUAUUAUAUUAUUUUAAUAUUUAAUAAUUUAAAUAUUUUUUAUUUAUUGAAAAUUUUUAUAUAGUCAUCUUAACAUUAUUUUAAUGUUUACAUUAUAGUAUUAUUAUAUAUUUAAUAUAAGUUUAUUUUUUUAAUCUGUUCUAAAUUAUAAAAUAUAAAGUAUUAUACACUUAAAAAUGGGCCGGGCUGGGCUCGAGCUUUGAAUGUUCAAGCCUAAACCCAGCUCAUAUUUUAAACGGGCCUAAUUUAUCACCCUUUGAUUUAUCAAAAUUUAUAACAAAUGAGAUUUUAGAUUUGAAUUAUGAGGCUAUAUAUAUAUAUAAGUAUACACAUUUUUAUGAAAUACAAAAUUUUGCUAAAACAAAAAGCAUAUAAAAGUAUACACGUUUUUAUGAAAUAAAAGAAAAAGCAUCCAAUUUUGAGAAUGAAAAAUAUAUGGUAAAAGCAUCCAUAACUUUUCAAUGUUAAAGAAAAAAAAGACUUAACACCAAUGUUGUGGUAUUAUUUGUUGCCUAUAAAUACCAUUCCUAUCCUUCAUCUUCCUCUACCAACAUAACAUGGCCCCCUGUCUCUUUCUCUGCCUAUUCCUCUUCUUUCCCCAUCUUUAUGCUUCUUUUUCUUCUUCAGGAUCUCACUCCUGCUCUUUACUAAUCCAGUUCAAGAACUCUUUUUCCAUAACAGAGGCUGCUUAUUCGUCUUGCGGCCCUAAAUCUUAUCCCAAGACAAAUUCAUGGAAGGAGGGUACAGAUUGCUGCUCAUGGGAUGGGGUCACUUGUGACCACCUAAAUGCUCAUGUUAUUGCCCUUGACUUGAGCUGCAGUUGCCUAUAUGGCACCUUCCCUUCCAAUACCACUCUCUUCCUUCUUCCUCACCUUCAAAAACUCAACCUUGCCGGCAAUGAUUUUAAUCUUUCCAAAAUUCCAUCCGAUUUCGGUCAGUUUACAAGCCUAUUCUACCUCAACCUUUCUUAUACAGGGUUUGUAGGAGAAGUCCCAUCCCAAGUCUCCCACCUGUCAAAAUUGGUUUUACUCGAUUUCUCCUCUUGGCCUGCUUUCUCUAUGCAAUAUAGAAUGGACAAACAUGCUCUGGAGGGACUUGUUCACAACCUAACCGAGGUCAGACAUCUGUUUUUGGAUGGAAUGGACAUGUCUUCUGUUAAUGCUCAUGUCUUCAUGAAUCUAUCCUCUUCUCUAAGGUCUCUCAGUCUUGCUGGUUGUGGUUUGCAAGGAAAAUUCCCAAAAAACAUUUUUGAUUUGCCAAACCUCAAUCUCCUCUACAUGGGAGGCAACCAAUUGAGUGGACAAAUUCCAAGAUCAUUGGGGAACCUCUUGCAGCUCACUCAAUUAGACUUAUCGGGGAUCCAAUUGAGUGGACAAAUUCCAUUAUCAAUUCUAAACCUAACGCAGCUUGAAUACUUAGGCUUAUCUGACAAUUUACUAACCUAAUAUAUUUAGGCUUAUCUGACAAUUUACUCAACGGAACACUUCCGUCAUGGUUGUAUACUGCUCCCUCCUUAAAGACAAUAUAUCUCUCUCAAAAUCAAUUCAGUGGGCAUAUCAAAGAAUUCCAAUCCAAAUCACUAGAACGGAUAUGGUUAGAGAAUAAUAAACUCCAAGGUCCUCUUCCAUCUUCAAUAUUCCAACUUCUCAAUCUUACAUCGCUUGCUUUAUCCUCAAAUAAUCUUAGUGGUGUCAUAGAGUUUAGCAUGUUCUCAAACCUUCCAAAUCUCAAAUAUCUCCACCUUUCAUGUAACAGCCUAUCCUUAACAUUUAAUACUACUUCUACUGUUAAUCUUACAGACUUAUUUUUGUCAUCUUGCAAUCUUAGUGAAUUCCCCAGUUUUUAAAAGGGCUGAAAAGUUUGGAAAGCUUAGACCUCUCUUGCAACAAUAUUGAAGGCAAGAUUCCACAGUGGAUGCAAGAGAUGGGGAAUGACUCUUUGACUUUCUUAAACGUAUCUCACAACUCUUUGACAGAAGUUGAGCACUUUCCAUGGAAGAAUAUUGAAUUUCUUGACUUAAGCUCCAAUUUGAUCCGUGGAAAUCUUCCGAUUCCAGCUUCGACAAUCAAUGUCUUUCUGAUCUCAAAUAAUAGAUUCAAUGGAGAGGUCUCUUCUUUAAUAUGCAAUGCCAGUUCUCUUCAAAUUCUUGAUUUGUCCCACAAUAACUUGAGUGGAACAAUUCCACAAUGUUUUGGAAAUUUGAGCAACAGCCUUGAAUUCUUGAAUCUGAAGAAGAACAAGUUUUAUGGGACGAUUCCUCCAACAUUUGCAGAGGGAUGCCAAUUGACUAAUUUCAACUUAAAUGGAAAUCUGUUAGAAGGGCCCUUGACACCAUCCAUCCUUAAUUGUAAGGGUCUGGAAGUGCUAGAUCUUGGUAACAACAAGAUCAAUGAUACAUUUCCUCAUUGGUUGGGAAGUCUUCCACAGCUACAAGUUCUUGUAUUGAAGUCAAAUCAUAUGCAUGGUCCCUUAUGUGUCAAUAGCUCCAAGUCUAGCCCUUUUUUCUCUAAAAUCCAAAUUUUUGACCUCUCAAAUAAUUAUUUUUCUGGACCCCUACCAGUGAGAUACAUCAACAGCUUCAAGGCUAUCAUAAAUCUAGAGAAGAUUGGGAGUACAAUGUCGUACAUGGGGAUGAAUGAUCCUCAAGGUGGCUUCUAUACCUCCAAAUGUGCUUGAAAAAGAUGGCCCAAAAUCAAACAUUACUUUUGGUUGGAAAGUGGUGUUGAUAGGUUAUGGAUGCGGAGUGGUGUUCGGAAUGUCCGUGGGAUAUGUUGUUUUCCAAACUGGUAAGCCGAAAUGGUUGGUGAAUUUGGUUGAAAUCCAACAUGAGAAGAAGUGAAGACGAAAGUCAAAGGAUGGCAGCCGCAGCAAUGGACGAAGAAGGAUCUAGUUAGUGGAAAUGGUGCUCAAGUGUUGAUGUUGUAUCUUCAUAAUUUCUUGUUUUGAAGUCUUUCAAUUUUUUUCCUAUGGUGAAAGGUUGCAUUGCCAUGCAUCUGUCUUUAUUAUUGUAACCAUUCAUCUAUAUUUCACUGCAUUAUGCAGUAUUAUGUCUUCUUUCAUGACUUUGAUUUUUGAGUCUCAAUAAUCUCUGCAUUCAAGAUUUUGUCAGCUUAUUAAUUGGUGGAUCAAUAAUCUUCAUGCUCAUCUCAUCAUCUUUUUCUCGAGUUAAACACAAUUUCUUCCGUGUGGAAAAUAAUUUGGCAUUCUGCAAAUUUCCACAAUGCUGGUAGAUUACCUUCGGUUGACAGCUAUACAUAUCAAGGAAGGAAACAAGACCAUGUCAAAAUUUUCAAAAAUUAGCCAUUGAUUUUGAACAGUUAAACUUUCGUAUUCUAUUGUUCAAAAUUGUAAAUUCUCGAAUAAUGUAAAUUAGUCCUAAAACUCAAGUUUUGAAAUCUUUACAAUUUAACCCCUUAUAGUUUCAAACUUUACUAUUUUAUGCUCAACUUUCUAAAUUUUCAUAUUUCAUGAUCAUAUAAUUUAGUUACUACAUCAAUAUUUCAGAUUUCACUACUCAAAUCCUUACUUCAAAUUUAUCAAAUUAAAUCAUUUUUCAAUUUGAAUGCAUUGAUGUGAAAUUGAGGGAGCACUAAACAAUGUUGAUGCGAGUUUAGGCAAAAUUGGUGGAUCCCAUCUCCUUAGUAAUUUCUUUAUGGAAGUAGCUGCUUUCACACUGCAAACUUGGAUAGUUUGUGGUGGACGAUGAUGAAUCAUUUCACAAUCAAACAUACCAUUUUUAAACACAAAAUUAAUGAUAUAUUGAAAUCAUUAUUGAAAUUGUAAUCAAAAUUAAUACAUGUUUUUUUUAUUAGCUUAAGGGCGUAAAAGCCCUUCAAAAUUUUUAAAAAAAAAAUUUAAGUCCCUCUUUUUUUUUUCUUUUUUUUUUACACUCAAUUGAGCACUUAAACUUUUAAAAUGUAUCAAAAAUAUCUUUACACUUCUUCAAAAAAAGCAAUUAAACCCCCCUUUUUUUUUCCACUCAAUUGGGUACUUGAACUUUCAUAAUGCAUAAAAAAAACCUUAAUUUUUUUUUCAAAGAAACAAUUAAGCCUCUAUUUUUUCCCCACUCAAUUUGGGUACUUGAACUUUCAUAAUGCAUCAAAAAGGCCUUAAAUUUUUUUCAAAAAAGCAAUUAAGCCCCUACUCUUAUUAAAAAUUAGAAAAAGAAUCAUAAAAAUAAUAAAUUUUAGAAAAAAAUUAUUAAAUUUUAAUAAAAAUUUAAAAACUUAUUAAAAAUUAGAAUUUUUUUAGAAAAAUAGUCAAAACUAAAAAAUUAUAAAAAUCAUAAAAAAAAUCCAUCAAAAGUCCUUUUAACAAUUAACUUUAAAUAUUGAUCGUUAAAGUUAACGACCUCUAGUUUUUUCAAUUAAAGUCAUUAUGUGUCGCAACUCAACAUGACAUAUAGCGAAAAUAGAUAAAAAAGUAAAAAUCAAUAAAAGUUAUAGAAAAAUUAUAAAAAAUUUCUUUUGGUACAAUAAUUUUUAUAAAAUUUUUUUUUACCAAAUUUAUAUUUCUUUACAAUUUGUAUAAUUUUCUUAUGACUUUAUAAAAUUUUAUAAUUUUUUAUAUUUCUAUAUAUUUUUUAAAUUUUUAAAUUUUUAUAAAAUUUUACAAUUUUUAUAUAUUUUUUAAUAAUUUUUAAUAUUUGAAUUUUUUAUUAAAAUUUAAUAAUAUUAUAGAUUUUAUUGAUUUUAAUUUUUUCUCUAAUUUUUAAUAAAAGUAGGGGCUUAAUUGCUUUUUUUGAAAAUGUUUGAGGGCCUUUUUGAUGUAUUUUGAAAGUUCAAGUUCCCAAAUGAGUGUUAAAAAAAAAAGAACAGGGGUUUAGUUGCUAUUUUUGAAAACGUUUCUUUUUGUACCCUUAAACCUCUUUUGUUUUUCUAAAUUUAAUUUAGAACCAACUUUGUGUAAAGAAAAUUUCCAGUCUGGUGGAAAAUACAAAUUUUUCCACAUCCAAUCUGGGUCUUUGUCGUGAUUUGUUGGUUGGCUAUGGCCUUGUUGUUGUUUCCACUGCCUCUGGUCUUUGUUUCUAAGUCAUAUGUGGCCUUGUUUGGUAGACCUUAGUUGCUAAGUUAAAGGGAGUGAAUAGAGCACCAUAAAAAAAAAUACAUGUAGAAUUACAAAAGAUUCAAUUAUUCAAGUUUGAGUUGCAUUUAUAAACACGUGAUGAUGAGAAUUCAUGAACAUAAGGUAUGGUUUGAGCCCUUUUGCCUUAUGCAUUUAUGUUGCAGAUGUUCAAACAUGGAAUAAUUCAACCUGCCUUUGUGUAUUCUUAAUUUUGUGCCAAACCUAAAUAUCUAUCGACAAAUUUAAGAGUCAUAUUUACAACAGCAUUGCAGAGUAACACAUUUAAGAUUCGAUUACACUGUCAAAAGAUUGCAGCAACGAUGAGAUUAAUCCAAUUACAGGAAUUAAUAUCCUAAAUGGCUUUUAGGUACGUAGCUUCAUUGACAACAUGAUAAUUGUGGAAAUACAAAAAUUCCCAUAUAUGUGUUGAAUUCUGCAUAAUGUAAAUGUCCCGCAUUGCAUGUGAAUUCUGCAAUAGACCAAACUUUACGUGUUAUAGUCCUUUAAACUGAGUUAAUAAAAAGUAACCAUUCUUAUCAAAAUUCGUUAUACUCUUAAUUUAUAACAAAAGAAAGAGUAAUUUGAGUUUAACUCAAAGGUUAAUAUGUCAUCAAUGGGCGAUGGCGUGGCGCUACCAUGUCAGCGAUUAUUUUCUUCUUUGAGUUGAGGUGAUUUCACCAAUUUUAGUUUACUUUUUUACUUCAAUUUAGGUUUCAGCUUAUUAGCUUCGAAGAUUCUAAGUGGGUGCCACAAUCAAAGGGUGAGUAAAAAGGGUUAAAAAAUGAUUUUUUUAAAAAUAUUUUUAUUUUUAUUAAAAAUUUAGAAUUUGAAUUAGACAAAUUUUGUAAAUGCUAAAGGCUUUAUUGAAUUUUUUUUUCAGAAUUCGAACUAAAAUGACAAAUUUUGUAAAAAGCGCUAAAUUUGUUUAAUUUUUAUAUUUAGGAUCAAAUUGAUUGAAUGUGUAAAUAUUAGAGGUUAAAUUUGUUAUUAGAUCAAUAAAAAAAAACCCACAUCAGCUUUCCGUCACUCAUCUAAUGAAAACUAAAGGGAGAGUGAUUAAAAUAUUUAAUUUCAAAAAUUUUAGCAACUAAAUUGGAAAAUUUAAUAGUUGGGUGACUAUUUUUGUAGUUUACAACUUUUUUGGUCACCUGACUAUUAAGUGACACUUUUUAGUUGGUAUAAUAAUAAUAAUUUUACUCCUCAAUUUUUUAUACUUUCUGUCAAUUUAACUCUGAUUAUAUAAAAUGAUUACAAAAGUAAAAUUCUUUUUAAAUUUUACAAAAUUCUAAAAAUUAAAAAUUAAAUGAAAGUAGAUAAAAAUUUCAAAUAUAAAUAAAGUGAGAGAAAAUGAGGAAAAUAUUAUUUUUAAACCCUCCAAAUUUUCUUUGCAUUAUCUGUAAAAAAAUAUCUAAUAUCCAUUCUUUUAGAAAAUAUAGAAAAAAAGUAAAAAAAGAUUAAGUAAAAUUAUCUGUAUAUAAUCUGCUUUUAUAAUUUGGGUUUUUAAUAAUAAAUUUAAAUGAAUUGAAAAUUCGAAUUGAGUUUGAAAAAGAAAAUUUUGUGGCAUGUUUUAUAUUUUUGCUUGAAAAAUGGCAUCAAAGUUGAUUUUGUAAGCUUUUGUAAUAUUAGUUACGGAUGUUCUUCAAGGGCAUGGAACUCAACUUGAAAAUUUUACUAAUUUGGUUGCAAAAAACAUUGAGGAAGCAUAUAAUGAUCUAACCUUUUUUUUUUUGUUUUGUUCUAUUUUUAAUUUGUUAUGAGAUUCUAUUGAAUGAUAAUUUUUUUUAUUUCCCAUUCAUAUUACUUCUUCAACAACAACAUAUUCGAGAUUUUAUUUUUCUAGAAUUUUUAUAUAGAAGUUUAUAUUUUUUAAAAAUAAUUUUGAGUUUUUUUAUAAUUUUUAUAUAGAAUCGAGGUAAAUUGGCAAAAAGAAUUAUAAACAUAGAAUACUAAAAUUGUUAUUAUAUUAACUAAAAAGUGUCAUUUAACAAUAGGGUGACCAAAUUGUAAUUUUUUUAGUUAAGUGACCAAAACGAAGAUUCACCCAUAGUUUAGUGGCUAAUUAUGUAGUUUACCCUUUCAUAAUUGAAAAAAUAGUUGUUAAGUUUUUUGUAUUAGAUAACAUUUUAGAUGGUGAAAACCCUCUUUAGUCCCUCUCAAUUUUGAUAUUAAGUAAAUUGGUCCAUUUUUAAAAAAAUCAAAGCAAUUCAAGGAGAAUGCAUAUUCAAGCGUUGGAGAUAACAAUGUUGUGUGGGGUAUCCACGGAUCUUGAACACGGACUAUAAAACAUAUAUAAAGAAUAAAAAAAUAACAUCUUAAUUUAAAUAAUUAAUAAAUUUUAAUUUGAAAAAAGUAUUUUGAGAAACAUAAGUUUUAGUAAGUAGUAAAAUUGAAUCGAUAAAAAUGUUCGGUAUAUCAGAAUCAUAAAAAUACAACCUAAUUAAUUUGAAUUUAAACUUAACUCAACUCGAUUUGAUUAUAAAAAACUGAUAAUUUGAAUCCAAAAUCACAUGAUCUUGAAAUGAUUUGAAUUAAUUGUCAAACCCGAACGACAAAACUCGAAAUGAUGCAAUCCAAAAACACAAAUCAAGUGAACUAAACUAUGAAAGAAAAAAAAAAAACCUUACACCGACUCAAAUCCAAAAUAAUUUAAUCCUAAAAUAACCCAAAUUUUAUAUAAUAUAAACUCGAAAUAACCCGAAAAUUUUUAAAUUAAAAUUGACCCGAGCCAAAUUCACACCACCUAAAAUCAAUCAUAACCACCUAAUUAAAAAGCAUGAAAUGAAAUGAUGUAAAGAGAAAAUCAGAGAAAACCAAAUAGAAAGUAACAAGCUUUUUUCAGAAUUGAAAACAAAUUCCGUACAUUCACGACAUGCAUAAAACAACAAUGGUUUAUAGAAUUUGAGUUUUAGUCCCUGUACUUUAAAAGUUAAUUUUUCUUAAUUUAAAAAUUUUAGUUUAAUUAUUUAUGAUGGUUGUAGUUUCCGUUAGCUUAUCAACAUGUUAAAUUACUAAAUUUUGACAGAAAAUACUUACGAGUUUAAUGAUUAUUGCGAGAUUUUUAAAUAAAAAAGUUCGAAAGACUUAAUUUCUAACCUUUUAAAUAUAGGGACUAAAAGCAUCUUUUAACUUUGAUAUUAUUAUUAUAAGCAGGGAUAAUGUCACCUUUGGCAUCUGUACUUUCAUAAAAUGUUUAGUGGUACAAGUACUUUGAAAAUAUAUAAUGUGGUACCUGAACUAUCAAUAUGUGUUAUUAUUAUGGUACAUGUACUUUGAAAAUGUUUAAUGUGGUACCUAAACUAUCAAUAGAUGUUUUAUUAUGAUACUUGGUAAAGACGGACUAUUAUGGUGGCUUAGGGGGCUCUUUGUCCCGUCUCCCCUGCAAAAAAAAAAAAAAGAGUUCGGAGAAUUUUAUUUUUUCCUUUGAAAUCUUUAGAAAAUUUCAAUUAAGCCCCCAAAAUUUUUGAAAAUUUUCAUUAUACCUUUUAAUUUUUUUUUGAAAAUUUUAAUUAAGCACUUUUAAAAUUUUGAAAAUUCUCAUUAAUCUCACAAAAAAUUUAAAAUUUUUUAUUAGACCCCCAAAAUUUUUUUUUUAAAAAUCUUAUUAAACCAUUAAAUUUUUAGAAAAUUUUACUUGCCCCCUCCCCCCCCCCCCCAAAAAAAAAAACCUAGUUCCAACUCCCAGUAUCCGCCAUUGGUACUUGGUAUUAACACUAUUAGAAAAUUGCUAAAUCAACUAAUGAAAAUUUGACACAUAGAACCCUUUUUUUUUUAAUUAUCAAGUCCACGUGGAUAAUAUAAUAGUGAAAAACUAAAUAAAACAAUAAUUAAAUGAAAUUAAAAAAACAAAUAACUAAACAUAUGGUUAAUAAAAAAAACCCGUACUUUCAAAGAUAAUAAAAAAUAUUAUUUAAAAAUCAAUUGAAAAUAUUAUUUUAAAGGGAAAACUCUUUGGAGAAGAUGAUCAUUUGCUUAAAUGGAGAAUAUAAUAUUUUUGGUUAUGUAAAUUUAAUUUAAUUGUUUUAUUUAGUUUUCACAUAAUGUUAUUUUAUACAUGUGGACUUGAUGAAUUAGAAAAAGAAAAAUUGCGUGUCAAAUUUUCAUUUGUUGGUCUAACAAUUCAUUAAUGGUGUUAACAUUAAGUACCAUAAUAAAACAUAUAUUGAUAGUUCAUGUACCACAUUAGACAUUUUCAAAGUACGAAUACUACAUUAGACAUUUUAUAAAAAAUACAUGUACUAUAAUAGAACACAUAUUAAUAAUUUAGAUACACAUUAAACAUUCUAUGAAAUUACCAUUACGAAAUGUGAUAUUAUCUCUUACAAGUAUUUGAUGAGUAGGUAUAUAAGGACAAGCAGAACCACAAUUCCAAUGACAGCUAAAGGCAUGCACAUACACGACAAUCCGCCAUUGAUGUGCUUGUUCAUAAUUACCAUGUUUUUCUGCACUCUCUGAUACAACAAAGAAAAGAAAACACAAUACAAAAUUAAAACUCUAAACAACCCAAAAUUUUUUCGGGCCAGAAAUGGUCCGAAAAUUUUAAGGGUAAACUAUAUUGGUAGCCACCUAACUAUUAAUAAAUUUCUUAGUUACUCAACUAUGAAAAGAUAUUUUUGUAUAUUUUCGAUGAAGAUUUGUUAUUUUUAUUUAUUAUUAAUAAACUUGUUCUUUUUAGUCCAUUUUUGUCAUUGUAGUAAUUUAUCAUCAAAUUUGGGAAAGAAUGCCCCAUUUCUAAUACAUGAUUAUCAUAUCAAAUUGUAGUUAUUCCUAUCUAGUAAUAAACUAACCCCAAUUUAGUCUGAAAGUAGUUAAAUCACUUAAGUUUGUUGCUUAGUUUUGUUGAUAUGGACAAUUAAAAAAAUCAUAAUAUAUAUUUCCAACAAAUAUUUUCGAUAAGAUAAACUCAAAAGUAAUUCUCAAAAUUGUAGAGAAUUUUAUUACUGGAGUGAAAAAAACAUUACGAAUCAGUAAAAUAAAGUAUCGUGAAGAAAUGAUAGAGAGGAAAAUUGAAACAAACCUUGAAAAAUAAGUGUGGUUGUAAGUAAGAUGCUGGAAGCAAUAGAGGGCUGAGAAAAGUGAGAGCUACAAUGAUUGUCGUGAUUGUAGAAAGAAACGUACAGAGAGAAUUGUUAGAAUACUCAAGUUUAUGGAGAGAAUUGAGAGGGUUUAGUGUUCCCAAAAAGAAGAAGGAAAAACACAUAUAUCAUAAUGAGGUUACACUCACGUCUUAUUUAUGGUAAGCAAAGCAUUACUUAUAUGGUUUCUGUUUAACGAGAAAGGGAAGAACUUGUAUUAGAGGAAAGUGUUAAGAAGUGUCUUCUUAACAAUGUCUGUGUUUUGAGCUUCCAAGAUAUGCACUUAAGGCAUCUCAAUAGAGGAGCAAUUCAAUAAUUAUACCAAUCUUUCGGGACUAACUCUACAACCUUUGCAUAGUUGCAAUCCAAGAAUCCUGCAACCUUCUAAGGCUAGCUACACAACAUUUACGUAUUUGCAUGUAUUUUUUUUUCCAUAACACCAACUCCAACAACUUCACUUUUAUUUAUCGAAAGAAAUUGUAUUUCUUGAAACUAUUAUUUACAAAAUAUUAUUAACCAAAAUCAAGUAUCCACAAUAAUUAAUACUAAUUAAUUCAAAGAUUUUCAAUGCUAAGAAUGGAACCCAAAUUCAGCCUUUGCUACUAACCUACUAAUAAACAAAAAAAAAAUAUAUAUAUAAUAUAUAUAGGUGAAGUUAGAAAGUUUAAAAUUGAAUUAUAAAUUUUUAAAAGAGUAAAAGUUGUUAUACUAACUUAAAAUUUUAUAACUUUUUAAUUUUGUGGAGCUAAAAUCUUUGCCUAUCCUCUAACAGUGCUCAGUAUUUCUCUCAUAAUUUUUUAUUUUUUAUUAUUCUUUUUCCUUUUUAGUUGAAAAUAGUGCUAAUUAAUGUUAUUUGUUAGUAUAAUUUUGUUAGAAUCUUAUGAAUCUUUCAUGAUGUACUAUAUCUUGAUUUGUUAGGCUAAUGUGAUAAUUUCUACUUCAUGUGUAUUAAUCCAUAAAUUUUAUCAAAAGUGGAAUUUUGAAAACUUAGUUUUGGAAGUUUGAAUAUUAAGUUUAACCUCCUGCUUUAGAUUUUGCAUUUUGGUUAAUUGGCUUGUGUUAUGUGUUUCUCUGGCAUCAGCCGAUAUGUGGAUUUGCCUCUCGUGAUGCACUACGAUUCAAGAAAGCCGCUGGGCAUAAGGAUUUGUUCUACAUUGAUGACAAAGAUGUGGAGUUUAAAGAAGUAAGAACUUAUCAACAAUAUUCGAGGUUCUGUUGUAUGUUGCCUUAUUAAAGAAGUCUUCACUUAAAUUCUUCUAUGUUGCCUUACGUAUGUAGGUUCUUGAGUCACCUUUGCCAAAAGCACCACAUGAUACAUCUGUUACAUCCCACUGGCUUGUGAUUGAAGGCAUUCAACCAGCAAUUCCAGAAAAUGCUUCAAUUGAAGGUACCGUCUUAGCUAACCUAAAUAUUCUCUCGAAGCUAUUUGUGUUGAAGACUCUCAUGGUUCAUGUUCUUUUCUGGUUUUAUCACUUUAAUCUAAUACGAUUAUCUUCAAUUCUACAUGGAAUUGGUUCUGAUGGUAAAAAGGCUGAAUACAAAGAAGAUGGGCUUUCCGUUGAUGUCAAAUUACCUGUUAAGCAUGUAUCAUCUAGAGAGCUUCAAGUAUGUUGUACAUCUUCAGCAACAUUUUUAUGUUAAAAUACAUUUUGCACAGAAUGAUAUUAAAAGACUAAUUUGGUUGUCAUGCAGCUUUACUUUGACAAGAUCGUGGACAUUACCAUGAAUAAAUCAGUCUCAGUUCUCUUUAAACAAGCAUUACUGAGUUUGGCAACAGACUCGGGAUUACAUCCUUUAGUUCCUUAUUUUACAUAUUUCAUUGCGGAUGAGGUUGUCUUAAAGAUCUUUGAUACCUCAUUAUAUAUGUGUGUUGCAAAGAACUUUUGGUUGGUUAUUUCAAGCUUACAUUUUUGCCACAUUUAACUCAGGUUGCACGGAAUUUGAAUAAUUUCCCUCUCAUGCUUGCUUUGAUGCGUGUUGCCCGGAGUCUUCUCCAGAAUGAACACUUACACAUAGAACCUUACGUGAGUUUAUUAUUUCAAUCAUUUAGAAGUACACGAACUAAUGCAAAUAUGCUAGUGGUUUAUUUUCCACCUAUCUGAUUUUUUAAAAUGUUCUUCAGUUACACCAGUUGAUGCCUUCUAUUAUUACCUGCCUCGUUGCAAAAAGGUUAGGAAAUAAAUUCACCGACAAUCAUUGGGAACUUAGAAACUUCGCAGCAAAGCUAGUGGCAUCAUUAUGCAAAAGGUGAAGAUUUCUUUUCUUUUGGACUUAUACAUGCAUUUUCGUUUUUAUGAAUUUCAGGUGUCUGAUUUUUGAGUUAUAAACUUGGAUCUAUUCUUCAAAUCAUGUGUAUAUCACUUUUAUGUUAUUUCACACAUGCAAAACAUAUGGUGCAAAUGAUGUUGAAGAAUUAGUGUUGUAUUUUCAUAAUUUCUUGGUCUGUAGACCGUUUUGCCUAUGGUGAAGGGUUGCAUUGGUAUGUGUCUGUCUUUAUUAUUGUACCAAUUCCUCUGUCUUUCAUUGCAUUUCGUACUAUCUGUAAUGUCUUCUUUCAUGACUUUCAAUUUAGUCUCGAUAAUCUUUGCUACUACUCAGUAAAGGAGAAAGGAGAACAAAAUGGCUCAAUGAUCUGUGUUGUAUUUUCAUAAUUUAUUUACAAGUUAGCAGUAAAAGGUUUGGUUAUAUGGAGAAAUAAUGUAUAGCAGAGUUGAAGGAAUGAUAUAAUGAAUUGAAACAUGGAACAAUGCAGACUGUAAAAGGGUACAUAUAGGUUGCUUUAAUUCCAAAAAUGGAAAUAGUAAUAUUCACUCCAAUUUAACCAAAAUAAACUUAUCAGAAUUCCAAGGUAACAAAACUGAUUAAUAUAAUAUACAGAAAUUAAUCAUAUAAAAAUUUAUAUUAUUACUUGAUAAUAUGAAUGACCAGUAUAAUAUAAAAGUAAGACAUGUUUUCUUUUCUUUUUCUAAAUUUAAUUUAGAACCAACUUUGAGUAAAGACUUGGGAAAUUGAAUUAGCAAAAUUUCUUUCCAUGUAGUUUUUUCUCCUAUUUCUUGUUUGAAUUUAGAGCAAUACAAAAUUUUGUGGCAAGUAAUAGAAAAUGACAGUCAAUUCAUUCCAAACAAUACAAAAUUUGCAGUGGAAUUCAUAUCUUUUAGGUAGCUUCAUUGAGGGCAUAAACAAGUUAGAAUUUGCAGUCUUAAUUUGUGUGGAAUUGAUAUGAAUGUAGUGGAUGCUGCAAAUUGUUGUUGAUUUGUGUGGAAUGACUGGACAUUCUUCUGCAAUUGUUAGAAAUUGGUGUUAUUAUUAUGGAGUUCAAAGGUUAAUAUUUGAUGCUUGCAGAUUUGAGGUGGAAUGUAGAUGAACUGAAGGCUGUUUUAACUUUUGUCUUAUAAGCUAUAUAUAAACAAAUAUUAUUUUAUCUUUUGCUUAUGAAAUGUUGAAAUAGUAAGUUUAUAUUCCUUGAUUAAUAAAAAGUGAGAUGGAGAUAGUCAAACCUCAAUUUCCACAUUGAAAUUGAAUCCAACCAUUCAUUGGUGGAUCGCAUAUCUUGUAUUUUGUCAAGUUAAAAGGGAGUGAAUAGAGCACCAUUUUCUUCUUCUGCGUGGAAAAUAAGUUGGCACUAUGCCAAAUUCCACAUUCAAACAUAUAAAGGAAGCAAGACCAAGUCAAUAUCAUCAACUCUAAUUAUUUCACUUCUUUCUUUAGGGAGUUCAAAUGGUGGCCCGGAAGGAGCGAAAAUGUCACCUAGAAAGAGGGUAUCACAUAUCAAAGCACGAAAGUCGUAAUAACAAUGUUAAAAACAAGGAAGAUUGAGCCAUCAACAGUGUUAUUGUGAAACCGGUCAUAAGUUAUCGCAAUACCCAAAACUCCCAAGUAUCCCCACGACUGUUGUGAAUAUCACGAUACCAAACUUUGGGUAUCACAAUAUCAUUGAUGAGAGGAGACAAAAUAUAACAGUAGGGGUAAUCCUUUUCCAACAUGUCCCCUAACCAAAAUUAGAUGAUCAAGGACAAUUUGGUCACUAUUUUUGGAUCUGUAAUUUGCUAGAAAGGGCAAAAAAUUGGCUGAACAAAAGGCAACACUUAACAUUUCAUGGUUUUCAAUUUUUCUCUUUAUUUUUAGAGUUUUAGUUUUCUUCUCCAUAACUCUAGGGUUUAAUUCAUGUUUUCUUUGAGUUUUUCUUGGUUCCAAUAAUAGUAGUUAGUUAAGUUAAUUAUCACUGUAGCUAGGAUUUAUUGGCUCGUUUAGUACCUUUAACUCUUUGUAUUUUCAGCUUAAUCCUUGGUUUUAAUAUAAAUAAAUUCCCUUCAUCAUUAAAAAUCUAUUUUUAGGGUUUUUUUUUACAUUUCCUUUGCUACCAUUGUAAUUGUUUUCAAGCUUUUCUCAUUUUUCUCAUGUUUUCUAGUUAUGCCUAUUUUGUGUGAUUGUUGUAUUUUUGUUUGUUUAAAUAUGAUUAUGGGUAACUAAAUCUGAAGUGAAAUUUGGCAUUAUGAAAAUGUCCAACAUUGCUUGUGGAUUAAUUCAUUAAUCCAUGUGUAUGUUUUAUUUAUUCAAAUGAUUAAUAGCUAACUUGAUCCUUAAAUUAUAGUUCAAAAAGUAUUUUUUAUAUUUUUAAAUUUUCAUAAAAAUAAUUGUAACAAAAUUUAAAAAUCUGAAAAUAAAUAAAAAUUUUAUAUAAAAAAUCAAUUGGUGCAAGAAAAAAAAAUUUCCAACUACUUUUUCCACAUCCAAUCUCAUAAAUAAUCAGUCUUUGAACUUUCACAAAAAAAUAUUAAAUACCCAUUUACUUUAAUUCUGCUCGUUUUUCAUUUGCUUUAUUGAUUUAUGCUCUCUUCAUAUUAUCUUUCUUUGCCUUUUUUUUUUCUUCCUUUUUCAUGUAGAUCUGCGUCGACUCUACUAUUCUUGGAUCAUUAUAAAUAUAAUAUAUGUUUUAUUUAUAGCUGAAAGUAAAACAUUGAGUUGAAAUUUGGCAAAAAAAAAAAACUGUGGGUUUGGAGAAGAAGAAGGGCACUUCAUAUUUAAAUUUAAAAAAUUUAAAAUUCCAAAAUCGAAAGUUAGUCAAAACCCUAAACAAUCUAAUAAUUGGGGUUGUAGAAAAGAAAUAUGGUUUUAGAAAUAAAUAAAACAAAAUAAAUUUGCAAAACAAUUUCUAGGCAAAACAGCAUUAAAUUAAGGAUUAAAAUAAUUUUUUUUUUAUAAAGCUUAGAGUGAAAUGAGUUUUUGGGAAACUGAAAAAAAAGUGAAAUGGGGAUGUUUGUACUAAUACACAUGGCAUUAUUGGACAGUAGACAAUAACUAAAAUGUUGCGUUAAUUUGUUUAUUGGACAAUCUUCUGCAAUGCUUAGAAAAUUUUAAUAUAUGUUUUAUUUUUAAAAUUUUAAAAUUUAAAAAUCAAUUAAUUGUUUGUAUGAUAUCGAUAUAUAUGUCUCGUCAAUAAAGUUAACAAAUGUUAAUUUUUUAAUCCAUUUUGGGAUGAUUAAAGAAGAAGAUGCAGUUUACCGGAUAGUUUUCUGGCAGCCAUACAUACUAAGUGAAUAGACACUCACAUUCUUUACGUAUUAUAAGGAAGAAGACUAAGUCAAUCUAUUUUGUAAUCUCAUCAAUGUUAAUUUUCUCAGUUGUUUAGGGAGUUCAAAUGAAAUACAAAAUUUUGGUAAAACAAUGUAUCCAAUUUUGGGAAUGAAAAAGAUAUGGUAAAAAGGAAGUGGUUGUUGAUGAGUAUUGAAAAAUAUAGGUUUUCAAUGUCAGCAUUUCAAACUCUUCCAAUAACAAUCUUUAUACCAUAAAAGAAACAACACUGUAACAGUGGUGUUGUGGUAUUAAUCAUCAGAUCUUUUGUUUAAUAUUGGAUUUUAUUUGUUGCCUAUAAAUACCAUUCCUAUCCUUCAUCUUCCUCUACAAACAUAACAUGGCCUCCUCUCUCUCUCUGCCUAUUCCUCUUCUUUCCCCAUCUUUAUGCUUCUUCUUCAGGAUCUCACUCCUGCUCUCACCUCGAAGCUGCUUCUCUAAUCCACUUCAAGAAUUCAUUUUCGAUCACUCAGACCGACCAUGCUGCUUUGUAUUGCGAUGAUUUUGCUAGCCUUAAAUCUUAUCCCAAGACAAAUUCAUGGAAGGAGGGUACAGAUUGCUGCUCAUGGGAUGGGGUCACUUGUGACCACCUAAAUGCUCAUGUUAUUGCCCUUGACUUGAGCUGCAGUUGGCUAUAUGGCACCUUCCCAUCCAAUACCACUCUCUUCCUUCUUCCUCACCUUCAAAAACUCAACCUUUCCUUCGAUGAUUUCAAUGAUUCCAAAACUCCAUCCGAGUUCGGUCGGUUUACAAGCGUAUUCUACCUCAACCUUUCUUAUACAUGGUUAAUUUGCUGGAGAAGUCCCAUCCCAAGUCUUCCACCUGUCAAAAUUGGUUUCACUUGAUCUCUCCUGUUGGGCUAAUGAACAAACAAUUGACAAACAUGCUGUGGAGGGACUUGUUCACAACCUAACCGAGGUCAGACAUCUGUUUUUGGAUGAAAUCAACAUGUCUUCUAUUAAUCCUCAUGUCUUCACGAAUCUAUCCUCUUCUCUAAGGUCUCUCAGUCUUUCUGGUUGAGAUUUGCAAGGAAAAUUCCCAAAAAAACAUUUUGAUUUGCCAAACCUCAAUUUCCUCAACUUGGGAGGCAACCAAAACCUGAAUCUUGAUCUUUUGAAGUUCAGCCGGAGCAGCAAUCUUGAACAUUUGGGUCUGUCGUGGAU